UACGGUGACCAUGCAUGUAGCAUGUGCACCGUACGCCCAGCAGUUCUCCAUGUAGUUAGGCAGUGCAUGUGUAUGUGUUAGGAAUGUGCACUGUGUAAGCAGAAUUUAAAACAUUUUGUGAAAAGUGUUGAGUCUGACGUUUUCUGUCCACCUCCAGUUGCGCAGAAGCCCUGAGCGUGUUUCUCUGGGACCAAGGGCAUUGCUUUUUGAAGCGUUCAGCCCUAGGGUACAGCAGCACAGACCUUUCACCAUGGAUAGGCUACCUUACAUCCACAAAUCUCAGAAAAAUAUAACAGCACCUCCAGGCCUUCCCAGACAAGAUUCCCAAGCACACAUACAAAAAAGAGAACACAUGUAAGGGAAUAAAAGAGCAAAUAAAAGGUGGCUGCAAUGGAGCCUCUCUCAUCUUUGUGCUACGAUGCCAAAAUCAUACCAAGCAUCGGCAUAAAAUUCGGAGGAAGCAAAAUGUUCAGCUUUCAAAACUGAAGGAGGUAACCGAAGAAGGCUUUUUUUCCUCUCGACAUGGAGAUGUAUCUGAAGAUCAUCUCCCCCAGAGGGCAGUGCAACUUAAAGAAUGGCAUUUAAAUGGAAAUUGGCAAUUUGAAGAUGUGUUUUUUAUCUCAAGAGAGUUAACAGAAAAAUAGUCUACAGGGAUGUAUUUUCUGGAAUAAAUCUGUGUACACAGUACGACUCUACCUUUCAUGCACUUUAAGCCAUAUUUAAGUGAAAUCUACAGAAAUCCCUUUUUUUGCCCUUGAUCCUCUAAAUGAAAAGUAAUAUUGAAAUAAUGUCUGUGAUAACAGAUUAUGAUAUCCAGGGUUAUAGCUCUAUUGUGAGAGAGAAGUGGAGUACAAAAGAAUAAAAUUCUUGUUUCUGAUGGACUGUACAAAGACUCGUAAUAGAGAUAUCUGAAAUUAAAUGGAAUUCAGAGGCCAUAUUUUUUAAGGACUGACCUCGACGCAAAUCUAAUACCGAUUCAAAUAAAUAGAUAGGACUAUAGAAUAAACGUUUCUCUUUAUCUUCCUCUUACAAGUUUUUUUUGUUCUAACAAUACCUGUUCCUGUAGAUCAAAAUCAAAUGAUGCAAUGGACUUAAAUGCUAAAGCAUUAUUAUGUAUGUUUAUAAAAUUAUGUUUUGUCAUAUUGAAAAAUACAUUACUGAGUAGAAAUUGAUUAACAACAUACAUUUUUUUGUAAAUAUGUAUGGUUUUAAUCCUUCUUUUAGAAAAGAGUGAAUAAUCCGAAACUUCUAUACAGCUACUGUCAUGAAGCAAAGAACAAAAAAUCAUCAGAUUGUGUCGAAUUGCUGUCACUCCAUUCGUGGCAACAGAAGAUUAAAUGCAGAUUGGGUCAAGAUUGUUAUUAACGUUCCUAUUAAGCCCCAUCACAGUCAUUGCAAGUGAGAGAGGAAAAUUAAUUUCUACCUCUGUUACUGUUAUUGUUUGCUUGGAAAAAAUGCUCGCUAGUGGUAAAUUAACAAGACAGUUCCACAUCACUACAUAAUGCUCUAUGUUCUUAACAGGAAAAGACAGAAAUAUCUGCAAUAAAAUCAAACCCCCUCAAUCUGUAUAGUGUAGUAUGGUUCAGUGUUUCUAAAUAAUUGGCAUUUUAGAGACUGCUGCUAGCAUUGUAUCAACGUAUGAUGGAUGCCUUUAAAACACAAUACUGACAACUUUCAUUCUAUUCCCAUCUUGCCUAGCAGUCCAACUGUGAGAAGCUUUGUGUUUGUAUUGUUCAUCCUGGGGAUAUGUCUAAAGAAACCUGUGGAAUUCAUCAAGGAAUGAUUUUUUUUUUCCCCUUAUUGUUUGUCAGCCAGUGAGAUUUUAGAAGACCUGGGUCCAUCUGUGUUCUUCAACAUCAUCUGGUCUUGCGUAUCGGAGGGCUCACCCAGGUGUCUGAGAGGACCUGAGGACACAUAACUGGCACUGCCUUGGGCUGCUGUCAGUCUCACGCCUCAGUGACCAGAGACCUGGUCGCAGUGGCUUUGCCGAAGGCAGCUUUCGGCACAGGUUUGGCGGGAUGCUUGUGCUCAGGGUUCCCUGGGUGCACGCUGGCCGGCUGCGACUCCUCUGGUGCCCUGGUCCCCUGCCCGUGAAUAAACGCUGAUCAACAGCCUAAUGAGAACAGGGAGAGAAAAUGCUGUGAAAGCUGCCCCUGCGCAUCUUUCAUGCGUGUUCAGUGUUAAAUGGAGAUUUUGGAGAAAGGAACGCAGUUCCUGCAGUUUGAUGAGUUGUGACGAGACCUCCUCUGCAGAGUCCUGGGAGACCGGCAGGGACACAUGUUGGCUGUAAUCCUUGAACCCAAGAGCUGCCCUUGUGCAGAGAAAUCGGAGGCGGAAUUUGUACAAGUGUGCUUGACAUGGCUACGCUUUAGCAACUCGCACAGCCACAAGCACCGAAGUACUGAAUAUGAGGAAAGUUUGGACUACAGCAUGAACUGUGCAUCUGUAUAAGCUCACGUAAGAGAGUGCAACACUAUUCAAGUCAACUUUUGUAAAUGUUGGUUUGAAGAACAGUGUUUUUUUCCCUGCUAAAUCUGAGCUUCAUCAUUCAUGGUAUUCUGCACUAGAGUAAUGGUAUUGGAGCAGUUGCUUUAUAAUAAUGAUGGAAAAGCCACAGGCUAGAGGAAGUAUUCAGAAGCACUGGUAUUUCUAUGACUGCUUUGGAAUACGUUCAGCACUUAUUUCCUCCUUAUGCAUAUGAAUUUACCCAAGCACAGCAAGGUUUUGUUGCAUGCAUCUGGUUCACUGCUCUGCAUUGUGGAAGUUUGUCAUAAUGAAAAACACAGGAAUCUCGACAACAAAAGCCCGGCUGAUGUGUGGGUGAAACUGGCAGAUAACCUGGCUGCUCUGUGAAGCCUGGGUCUCGAUGGUGUGCCCUGUUCCUACUCACCUGAGCCGCAAGCUCACACAAGGAUGAUGGCAUCUCAGGUACUACAUCAUGACCUAUGACCACCUUUGAUGGUUAAACAUUGACCCACAAGACAUUAUCAGGAAAGAUCAGCUUAACUUCUAUCCUAGAAAACAUCUGUCUUCAAUGACAACAUGUGCCAUAGGCAGUGUGUGGCAACCGUAGAGGAAAAGUGUUCAUCUAAAGGAAAUACUACCUGACCUCCCUCCUUCUCGGGGCUGUCAGGGCUCUAGCCUGUGGUGACUCCAGCUCCUCUGGCUCUCCAGAACCUGCAGCAGUCAGCAGCACGGUCAGGACAGCUUCUGCCGGCUCCUCAUUGCACUCUCGUCUUACAUCUUACCGCAGCUUGUCCCAAGCACCCGGACUGUUUGACACUACCAUGACACGAAACUUUCAAUGCUGAACUAGAUUAACUCUUAUUUUGACUCUAGGGCUAAAGCUAGGACAGUCAGUCCUGGGUUGUGCUGUCUCCUGGUGGGGAUUGGCACUACGGUUUUCAGCAGCUUCCCACCAUUUCUGGAGUGACCCCAGACCAGCUUUGUUUCUGGGCAAAGGAAUUUGGUGAAAGCUGAUCAAGUUGUGAAUAGCGUUUGCCUAUCUCCAUGUAGUAAACUUAUUUCAGGUAGGCAUGCAAGGUCUCGUAAAAAAGGCAAUGAGAUUUUCUGCCAGCUCUGAGCAGUGAAUCAGAGCUUGGGGACAAAAAUGUUGUUCUUGUCUACCCACCUGAUAUCCAGGUAAGAAGAGCCAGCUCCAGGCUACUCAACAACAGAGGCAGAUUUCAAUUUCAAUGCUCCAAGAAAAAGAAUAAAAUGUAAUUUGACUUCUUUCUGGGGUGGUAAACUCUGUGACAGCAGUGUGUCAAGUGAGGCAGAUGAUACAACUGGUCUUAAGGAGGUCAGUGGCGGUUUCAGGGCGAUGUGGAUGGUGAAAGACAAGGUUCAAGUGGUGCUGGUCCAAGUGGUGCUGGGGGUGGAUUAAAAAUCACUAUCCAGAGUCCCUCAUACUGGGUAAAUUAGAGGCCCAGAAAUGCCCUCAUCUAUCUCUUGCAACAUGCCAAACUGAAGGCCACUCUAAAGCUUUCUUAACGCUUUCUUAAAUGAUGUGCCCUAGAUAAACAUCUGGUUGCCCAAGCUCUCCUGCGUAGUCAGCGAGUGGACGAUAGUUAACCCGCUGCUAUUUUUCUCAUUGAUUUAAGCACAGAGUCUGGAGGGAGAGGGCUUUGGACUCUGGCAUCUUGGUGACAGGACUCCAAGCCUCAGGACUGGAGACAUGUUUCAGGAGGCGGACGAGCUCCUACCUGCGUGUAUAUCCUAACCCAGACGAUGGAGAUUGAAAGCGGAGAGCAGCCUGCAAGAGCACGAUCAGUUGGGGUGAAUCUGGACUUGCAUAUCCAAGCAGGCACAUUCUGGUGUCCCAGCAUGUGUGACGUGGUUUGGGCCUAUAAAUAUGCAGCAUAUCUUUGUAUAUAAAACAUAGACAUUAGUGCAAAAGAAAUACGUUAAGCCCAUGAUGAAUAUUUUUAUACCAUGCUUAUAAAUUGAAUUUACAGUGUUAUGGUUUUAUCCUUAUCAGCUUAGCUAGUGACAGAUGCCAUUCUGGACCCCAGGUAACAUCCCUAGCAUUCCAUUUAGUAGCAGAUAUUUUCAAAUCCAAGCAGUAUAAAUGCUGAUUCUUGCUGAAACUCAUGUUUAUACAACUGUUUAUGCACAUCUUUCUAAAGAGAGGGCCACAGAUAGUCAAGCUUAGGAGGCUGGGAACCAUUUUAUAGAUCACUCUGGUGUUCUCGUGUCAAGACUAGAUAUGCCAUUAACUGAAAAGUUUGGAAAAUGUUUUUUCCCUAUGUUUCAGUGUUUCAAUUAAAAGUAUUUUUUUCUUUC